GCCUUGUUUAUUCUCGUCCGUCUCUUGUCGUGCUCUAGUCUUGUGUCCUUGUUUGUUUAUGUUGGAUAUGUUUGGUACUGACCCCUGCCUGGACUGUUUAUUCUUUGGAUUGCCCCUAAAUAAAGACGUACUCGCAUUUGGAUCUCUCACUGUGUCUCCUUGUAUCCCGGACGUGACAGAAGGACUCUGUCAACUUGAGAUCCAGCGGUAUGUCUGCUCACGUCUCCUCCCGAGCCACAGAGCGGGAGAGGAGCCGUUUUGAGGGAACUCGCCUGGUGGUCUUCCGGGGAACCAGGGGAGGUCGCCGAGGAGGGAGUGGUCGAGAGGAGGUUCAAUAUCGCUCUCAACCAUGGCCCCCCUUCGACCCUGGGCUCGUGUGUGACGGAUCGGAGCCACUGUCUCACCAUGGCGGACGGAGAGGGGAAAAGAAGCGCAGGUCCGCCAUGGUGGCGCCACUGCCCAUGAUGGCCGCAGGGCCAGCGCCACGAGGCAAGGUGGACGCCAGCCCAGCGCCAAUGCCCAAGAGGGCCGCGGAGACAUUGUUGGAUUACUUUUCCAUGUUGAACCAGAUCUUAGAGAUUCCCAGGAGUGUUCACGUCCCAGCUGCGGAGCCAGCGCCAAUGCCCAAGAUGGCCACCAGCCCAGCGCCACAGCACAAGAGGGCCGCCAGCCCAGCGCCACAGCACAAGAUGGCCGCCAGCCCAGCGCCACAGCACAGGAUGGCCGCCAGCCCAGCGCCACAGCACAAGAUGGCCGAAUCUGCACCUGUGUCGCCAGACAAGAUGGCCGACUCAACGCCUGAGUCUCCAGACAAGGUGACACCGACUCGCCAUCAUAGAGGGCGGAGGAGGAGGGGACAGGCGUCUACCGUUCCUCAAAGCCCGGCGGACGUUCCCGAGCAGCCCGCUGCCGUCCCAGAGGCCGUUCCCGAGCAGCCCGCUGCCGUCCCGGAGGCGGCGCCUGAGGCAGAGGCCGAUACGGGGCCCGAGGCGGUUCUUGAAGCCGAGGCGGUUCCUGAGGCCGUUCCCGAGGCGGUGCCCGAUGCUGAGGCGGUUCCUGAGGCCGUUCCCGAGGCAGUGUCCGAU
ensembl:lncRNA